rnacentral:lncRNA from 1 species
CCUUGGCCUGGUAAAGAAGAGAGGAGUCUCUCUCUUCUGGAAAUUUGGACUAUGUAUAGUAUAUCCAGAGAACUAAAUAUACCCGGAGACCAAAAUAGUCAUACUUUGGCACUGAAGUAGCAAAGUCAUGAGGUUGACUUCUGGCUGGAGAGGCUCUGAUAGACCAGAAGCAGGCAGAGGUUUAGAGGCAGCAGAACCAUGGGAGGCCAAGGUGGUAGGAUCACUUGAAGUUGGGAGUUCAAGACCAGCCUGACCAACAUGGUGAAACCUCGCCUCCACUGAAAAUACAAAAAUUAGCUGGGCAUGGUGGCAGGCACCUGUAAUCCUAGCUACUCGCUAAGACUGAGGCAGGAGAAUCGCUUGAACCCAGGAGACGGAAGUUGCAGUGAGCCGAGAUCAUGCCACUGCACUCCAGCCUGGGCAACAGGGCGAGACUCCACCUCAAAAAAAAAAAAAAUGUGUAAUUAACUGUUCCCCAUGUCAAUAAAUAUUCUCUUCUAAUAUUCUUUUAAAUGAUUUUCUAGUAUGCCAUCCUAACGAUAUGUCAUCACGAAUUUAUAUAAUUCCUUGU